rnacentral:tRNA from 1 species
GCCUGGGUGGCUCAGUCGGUUGAGCAUCUGACUUCGGCUCUGGUCACGAUCUCCCGGUUUGUGAGUUCGAGCCCCGCAUCAGGCU